AAAUUGAAGAGUUUGAUCAUGGCUCAGAUUGAACGCUGGCGGCAGGCCUAACACAUGCAAGUCGAGCGGAAACGAGUUAUCUGAACCUUCGGGGAACGAUAACGGCGUCGAGCGGCGGACGGGUGAGUAAUGCCUAGGAAAUUGCCCUGAUGUGGGGGAUAACCAUUGGAAACGAUGGCUAAUACCGCAUGAUGCCUACGGGCCAAAGAGGGGGACCUUCGGGCCUCUCGCGUCAGGAUAUGCCUAGGUGGGAUUAGCUAGUUGGUGAGGUAAGGGCUCACCAAGGCGACGAUCCCUAGCUGGUCUGAGAGGAUGAUCAGCCACACUGGAACUGAGACACGGUCCAGACUCCUACGGGAGGCAGCAGUGGGGAAUAUUGCACAAUGGGCGCAAGCCUGAUGCAGCCAUGCCGCGUGUGUGAAGAAGGCCUUCGGGUUGUAAAGCACUUUCAGUCGUGAGGAAGGU
rnacentral:rRNA from 3 species